rnacentral:rRNA from 1 species
UAGCUAGUUGGUGAGGUAAAGGCUUACCAAGGCGACGAUCUGUAGCGGGUCUGAGAGGAUGAUCCGCCACACUGGAACUGAGACACGGUCCAGACUCCUACGGGAGUCAGCAGUGGGGAAUUUUGGACAAUGGGGGCAACCCUGAUCCAGCCAUGCCGCGUGAGUGAAGAAGGCCUUCGGGUUGUAAAGCUCUUUCGGCCGGGAAGAAAUCGCAUGGGCCAAUACCCUGUGUGGAUGACGGUACCGGAAUAAGAAGCACCGGCUAACUACGUGCCAGCAGCCGCGGUAAUACGUAGGGUGCGAGCGUUAAUCGGAAUUACUGGGCGUAAAGCGUGCGCAGGCGGUUUUGUAAGACAGGCGUGAAAUCCCCGGGCUUAACCUGGGAACUGCGUUUGUGACUGCAAGGCUAGAGUACGGCAGAGGGGGGUGGAAUUCCACGUGUAGCAGUGAAAUGCGUAGAGAUGUGGAGGAACACCAAUGGCGAAGGCAGCCCCCUGGGUCGAUACUGACGCUCAUGCACGAAAGCGUGGGUAGCAAACAGGAUUAGAUACCCUGGUAGUCCACGCCCUAAACUAUGUCAACUAGGUGUUGGGUGGGUAAAACCAUUUAGUACCGUAGCUAACGCGUGAAGUUGACCGCCUGGGGAGUACGGCCGCAAGGUUAAAACUCAAAGGAAUUGACGGGGACCCGCACAAGCGGUGGAUGAUGUGGAUUAAUUCGAUGCAACGCGAAAAACCUUACCUACCCUUGACAUGCCAGGAACUUGCCAGAGAUGGCUUGGUGCCCGAAAGGGAGCCUGGACACAGGUGCUGCAUGGCUGUCGUCAGCUCGUGUCGUGAGAUGUUGGGUUAAGUCCCGCAACGAGCGCAACCCUUGUCGUUAAUUGCCAUCAUUUAGUUGGGCACUUUAACGAGACUGCCGGUGACAAACCGGAGGAAGGUGGGGAUGACGUCAAGUCCUCAUGGCCCUUAUGGGUAGGGCUUCACACGUCAUACAAUGGUCGGUACAAAGGGUUGCCAAGCCGCGAGGCGGAGCCAAUCCCAGAAAGCCGAUCGUAGUCCGGAUUGCAGGCUGCAACUCGCCUGCAUGAAGUCGGAAUCGCUAGUAAUCGUGGAUCAGCAUGUCACGGUGAAUACGUUCCCGGGUCUUGUACACACCGCCCGUCACACCAUGGGAGCGGGUUCCGCCAGAAGUAGGUAGCCUAACCGCAAGGGGGGCGCUUACCACGGCGGGGUUCGUGACUGGGGUGAAGUCGUAACAAGGUAGCCGUAGGGGAACCUGCGGCUG